rnacentral:rRNA from 1 species
AUUGAACGCUGGCGGCAUGCCUUACACAUGCAAGUCGAACGGCAGCACGGGAGCAAUCCUGGUGGCGAGUGGCGAACGGGUGAGUAAUAUAUCGGAACGUGCCCAGUCGUGGGGAUAACGUAGCGAAAGCUACGCUAAUACCGCAUACGAUCUAUGGAUGAAAGCGGGGGAUCGCAAGACCUCGCGCGAUUGGAGCGGCCGAUAUCAGAUUAGGUAGUUGGUGAGGUAAAGGCUCACCAAGCCGACGAUCUGUAGCUGGUCUGAGAGGACGACCAGCCACACUGGGACUGAGACACGGCCCAGACUCCUACGGGAGGCAGCAGUGGGGGAAUUUUUGGGACAAUGGGCGCAAGCCUGAUCCAGCAAUGCCGCGUGCAGGAUGAAGGCCUU